AGAGUUUGAUCCUGGCUCAGGACGAACGCUGGCGGCACGCUUAACACAUGCAAGUCGAACGAGAGAAGAGGAGCUUGCUUUUCUGAUCUAGUGGCGGACGGGUGAGUAACACGUGAGCAAUCUGCCUUUCAGAGGGGGAUACCGAUUGGAAACGAUCGUUAAUACCGCAUAACAUAAUUGAACCGCAUGAUUUGAUUAUCAAAGAUUUAUCGCUGAAAGAUGAGCUCGCGUCUGAUUAGCUAGUUGGUAAGGUAACGGCUUACCAAGGCGACUAUCAGUAGCCGGACUGAGAGGUUGAUCGGCCACAUUGGGACUGAGACACGGCCCAGACUCCUACGGGAGGCAGCAGUGGGGAAUAUUGCACAAUGGAGGAAACUCUGAUGCAGCGAUGCCGCGUGAGGGAAGAAGGUUUUAGGAUUGUAAACCUCUGUCUUCAGGGACGAAAAAAGACGGUACCUGAGGAGGAAGCUCCGGCUAACUACGUGCCAGCAGCCGCGGUAAUACGUAGGGAGCGAGCGUUGUCCGGAAUUACUGGGUGUAAAGGGAGCGUAGGCGGGAUCGCAAGUCAGAUGUGAAAACUAUGGGCUUAACCCAUAAACUGCAUUUGAAACUGUGGUUCUUGAGUGAAGUAGAGGUAAGCGGAAUUCCUAGUGUAGCGGUGAAAUGCGUAGAUAUUAGGAGGAACAUCAGUGGCGAAGGCGGCUUACUGGGCUUUAACUGACGCUGAGGCUCGAAAGCGUGGGGAGCAAACAGGAUUAGAUACCCUGGUAGUCCACGCCGUAAACGAUGAUUACUAGGUGUGGGGGGACUGACCCCUUCCGUGCCGCAGCAAACGCAAUAAGUAAUCCACCUGGGGAGUACGACCGCAAGGUUGAAACUCAAAGGAAUUGACGGGGGCCCGCACAAGCAGUGGAGUAUGUGGAUUAAUUCGAAGCAACGCGAAGAACCUUACCAGGUCUUGACAUCGUAUGCAUAGCUCAGAGAUGAGUGAAAUCUCUUCGGAGACAUAUAGACAGGUGGUGCAUGGUUGUCGUCAGCUCGUGUCGUGAGAUGUUGGGUUAAGUCCCGCAACGAGCGCAACCCUUACUGUUAGUUGCUACGCAAGAGCACUCUAGCAGGACUGCCGUUGACAAAACGGAGGAAGGUGGGGAUGACGUCAAAUCAUCAUGCCCCUUAUGACCUGGGCCUCACACGUACUACAAUGGCUGUCAACAGAGGGAAGCAAAGCCGCGAGGUGGAGCGAACCCCUAAAAGCAGUCUUAGUUCGGAUUGUAGGCUGCAACCCGCCUACAUGAAGUCGGAAUUGCUAGUAAUCGCAGAUCAGCAUGCUGCGGUGAAUACGUUCCCGGGCCUUGUACACACCGCCCGUCACGCCAUGGGAGUCGGUAACACCCGAAGCCUGUAGUCUAACCGCAAGGAGGACGCAGUCGAAGGUGGGAUUGAUGACUGGGGUGAAGUCGUAACAAGGUA
rnacentral:rRNA from 1 species